rnacentral:rRNA from 1 species
UGGAGAGUUUGAUCCUGGCUCAGAUUGAACGCUGGCGGCAGGCCUAACACAUGCAAGUCGAGCGGUAACAGAGAUCAGCUUGCUGAUUUGCUGACGAGCGGCGGACGGGUGAGUAAUGUCUGGGAAACUGCCUGAUGGAGGGGGAUAACUACUGGAAACGGUAGCUAAUACCGCAUAACGUCUUCGGACCAAAGUGGGGGACCUUCGGGCCUCAUGCCAUCAGAUGUGCCCAGAUGGGAUUAGCUAGUAGGUGGGGUAAAGGCUCACCUAGGCGACGAUCCCUAGCUGGUCUGAGAGGAUGACCAGCCACACUGGAACUGAGACACGGUCCAGACUCCUACGGGAGGCAGCAGUGGGGAAUAUUGCACAAUGGGCGCAAGCCUGAUGCAGCCAUGCCGCGUGUAUGAAGAAGGCCUUCGGGUUGUAAAGUACUUUCAGCGAGGAGGAAGGUGUUGUGGUUAAUAACCACAGCAAUUGACGUUACUCGCAGAAGAAGCACCGGCUAACUCCGUGCCAGCAGCCGCGGUA